rnacentral:rRNA from 1 species
GACGAACGCUGGCGGCGUGCCUAAUACAUGCAAGUCGAACGCUGAAGAGAGGAGCUUGCUCUUCUUGGAUUAGUUGCGGACGGGUGAGUAACGCGUAGGUAACCUGCCUUUUAGCGGGGGAUAACUACUGGAAACGAUAGCUAAUACCGCAUAACAAUUGAUGACACAUGUCAUUUAUUUGAAAGGGGCAAUUGCUCCACUACAUGAUGGACCUGCGUUGUAUUAGCUAAUAGGUGAGGUAAAGGCCCACCUAGGCGACGAUACAUAACCGACCCGAGAAGGUGAUCGGCCAACCUGGGACUGGGGCACGGCCCCGACUCCUUCGGGAGGGAGCAGGAGGGGAACUUCGGCAAUGGGGGCAACCCUGACCGGAGAAAGGCGCGGGGGUGGAGGAGGGUCUUGGAUCGUUAAGCUCUGUUGUAAGUCAAGAAAGGGAGUGGGAGUGAAAAGUUCACACUGUGACGGUAGCUUACCAGAAAGGGACGGCUAACUACGUG